rnacentral:rRNA from 1 species
GUGGGCAAUCUGCCCUGCACUCUGGGACAAGCCCUGGAAACGGGGUCUAAUACCGGAUACUGAUCCUCGCAGGCAUCUGCGAGGUUCGAAAGCUCCGGCGGUGCAGGAUGAGCCCGCGGCCUAUCAGCUUGUUGGUGAGGUAACGGCUCACCAAGGCGACGACGGGUAGCCGGCCUGAGAGGGCGACCGGCCACACUGGGACUGAGACACGGCCCAGACUCCUACGGGAGGCAGCAGUGGGGAAUAUUGCACAAUGGGCGAAAGCCUGAUGCAGCGACGCCGCGUGAGGGAUGACGGCCUUCGGGUUGUAAACCUCUUUCAGCAGGGAAGAAGCGAAAGUGACGGUACCUGCAGAAGAAGCGCCGGCUAACUACGUGCCAGCAGCCGCGGUAAUACGUAGGGCGCAAGCGUUGUCCGGAAUUAUUGGGCGUAAAGAGCUCGUAGGCGGCUUGUCACGUCGGUUGUGAAAGCCCGGGGCUUAACCCCGGGUCUGCAGUCGAUACGGGCAGGCUAGAGUUCGGUAGGGGAGAUCGGAAUUCCUGGUGUAGCGGUGAAAUGCGCAGAUAUCAGGAGGAACACCGGUGGCGAAGGCGGAUCUCUGGGCCGAUACUGACGCUAAGGAGCGAAAGCGUGGGGAGCGAACAGGAUUAGAUACCCUGGUAGUCCACGCCGUAAACGGUGGGCACUAGGUGUGGGCAACAUUCCACGUUGUCCGUGCCGCACCUAACGCAU